UGGUGAGUCUUCGCUCCCCUGGAGAUUAGCGGCGGACGGGUGAGUAACACGUGGGUAACCUGCCUGUAAGAUUGGGAUAACUCCGGGAAACCGGAGCUAAUACCGGAUAACAUUUUGAACCGCAUGGUUCAAAAUUGAAAGACGGCUUUUAGUUGUCACUUACAAAUGGACCCGCGGGGCAUUAGUUAGUUGGUGAGGUAACGGUUCACCAAGGCAACGAUGCGAACCCAACCUGAAAGGGGGAUCGGCCACACUGGAACUGAAACACGGCCCAAACUCCUACGGAAGGCAGAAGUAGGAAAUCUUCCGCAAGGGACGAAAGUCUGACGGAGCACCGCCGCGGGAACGAUGAAGGCCUUCGGGUCGUAAAGUUCUGUUGUUAGGAAAAAACAAGUACCAAAGUAACUGUUGGUACCUUGACGGUACCUAACCAAAAAGCCACGGUUAACUACGUGCCAGCAGCCGCGGUAAUACGUAGGUGGCAAGCGUUGUCCGGAAUUAUUGGGCGUAAAGCGCGCGCAGGCGGUUUCUUAAGUCUGAUGUGAAAGCCCACGGCUCACCCGUGAAGGGUCAUUGAAAACUGGGAAACUUGAGUGC
rnacentral:rRNA from 2 species